AGGGGGAGGCUGGAUUCUGGGCUGUUUCCCGGUGCCCAGUGCUCCCGGGCCUGCGCUGUUGGAUUCGCACUCCUGGCCGUGCAGCCCCCU
rnacentral:pre_miRNA from 1 species